UGUCGUCAGCUCGUGUUGUGAAAUGUUGGGUUAAGUCCCGCAACGAGCGCAACCCUUAUCCUUUGUUGCCAGCGGUCCGGCCGGGAACUCAAAGGAGACUGCCAGUGAUAAACUGGAGGAAGGUGGGGAUGACGUCAAGUCAUCAUGGCCCUUACGACCAGGGCUACACACGUGCUACAAUGGCGCAUACAAAGAGAAGCGACCUCGCGAGAGCAAGCGGACCUCAUAAAGUGCGUCGUAGUCCGGAUUGGAGUCUGCAACUCGACUCCAUGAAGUCGGAAUCGCUAGUAAUC
rnacentral:rRNA from 1 species